AGAGUUUGAUCCUGGCUCAGGACGAACGCUGGCGGCGUGCUUAACACAUGCAAGUCGAACGGAAAGGCCCCUUCGGGGGUACUCGAGUGGCGAACGGGUGAGUAACACGUGGGUGAUCUGCCCUGCACUUUGGGAUAAGCCUGGGAAACUGGGUCUAAUACCGAAUAGGACCGCAUGCUUCAUGGUGUGUGGUGGAAAGCUUUUGCGGUGUGGGAUGGGCCCGCGGCCUAUCAGCUUGUUGGUGGGGUAAUGGCCUACCAAGGCGACGACGGGUAGCCGGCCUGAGAGGGUGUCCGGCCACACUGGGACUGAGAUACGGCCCAGACUCCUACGGGAGGCAGCAGUGGGGAAUAUUGCACAAUGGGCGCAAGCCUGAUGCAGCGACGCCGCGUGGGGGAUGACGGCCUUCGGGUUGUAAACCUCUUUCAGUAUCGGCGAAGCUCCAGGAUUUUUCUUGGGGUGACGGUAGGUACAGAAGAAGCACCGGCCAACUACGUGCCAGCAGCCGCGGUAAUACGUAGGGUGCGAGCGUUGUCCGGAAUUACUGGGCGUAAAGAGCUCGUAGGUGGUUUGUCACGUUGUCCGUGAAAACUCACAGCUUAACUGUGAGCGUGCGGGCGAUACGGGCAGACUGGAGUACUGUAGGGGAGACUGGAAUUCCUGGUGUAGCGGUGGAAUGCGCAGAUAUCAGGAGGAACACCGGUGGCGAAGGCGGGUCUCUGGGCAGUAACUGACGCUGAGGAGCGAAAGCGUGGGGAGCGAACAGGAUUAGAUACCCUGGUAGUCCAA
rnacentral:rRNA from 1 species